rnacentral:lncRNA from 9 species
CACCAACUGCCGGCUCUCCUGCCCCUGGUUGGUGGGGGGCAGCCCUCCUGCAGGGGUGUGGCCGGGGUGCGGAUGCUGGGGUGUGAGCAGCAAAGACCAGGCUGGGCUGUCUGUCACACUGGGAGGGAGAUGGGGAUGGGGGGAGACUCCGGAGCAGGAGACAGGCCCCCAGCCUCAGCUGCUCCUCCCCUGGGUCUUCCCUGCCCCCAGGUCCCACCCACCCCGCCUGGGGGCCAGUGACUCAGCCUCAGGACAGGUGCCUGUCGGCAUAAGUGACGGUCAGAGGCUCCUUAGGGACCCGCGUGGCUGGAGAGGGCCAGGCCCUUCCACUGCCCAGCAGGCAUGUCGCAUUCAGGAGCUUCUCCUGCGUCCCUCAUAGUGCAAAAGAGGAUGGAGUCCCCGUUGUGGCUCAGUGGGUUAUGAACCCGACCAGCAUUAAUGAGGAUGCAGGUUCGAUCCCUGGCCUUGUUCAGUGGGUUAAGGAUCUGGCUUAAGGACUAAGCUGCGGCGUAGGUCACAGAUGAGGCUCGGAUCUGACGUUGCUGUGUUGCUGUGACUCCAAUUCUACCUCUAGCCCUGGAACUUCUGUGUGCUGCAGGUUCGGCCCUUUAAAAAAAACAAAACAAAACACACAUUACAAAGGAGGACGAGGACGGCCGCCGACCACUUGCUGCCUUCUGAAUGACAAGCAAAGGCUCCUGGGACAGGAGUGGAGAUCCAGGGACUUGCCAUCUCUGGCAGUGAUGUUUGCCCUGAACAAGAAGCCCCAGGCAAGGUUAGAGCGGUGCUGUCCUUGGCUGUGCCAGUCGGAGGGAGCAACGCGCUGGAUCCGUCGGGGGGACGUCUUCUUGGAAGAAGGGGCUCAUAUUCUGGACCUUGAAGGGAGCAGGUGUGUGCAGGUGGGGACACGGGAGGGUACUGGGUUUGAAGGGAGCUGCUGGUGAGGGUGUGAGGACUGAAAAUCUGGUGCCCAGUGGAGGGCGAGGAGAGCCAGGGGCUGGUGGGGAGGGGGGUGAGUCCAAGGUGGGCCUUAGAGGCUUCAUUGCCAGAUCAGAACUGUGUUCUGGGAGCUCCCACUGUGGCACAAUGGGAUCCACAGUGUCUUGGGAGCACUGAGAUGUGGG